CUUUCUGCUGACGUGGGGUUUAUGGAGUAUAAAUAAAGUGAGGCGGAGGCUCUGAGUGCGGCCGCCAUGUUCUCUGUGUGUCUUUGUCUUUUGUGUGUUCUUUCAUUCUCCACCACCCCCGGCACGGAUCCCAACAAGUGGCGCAGCGAGCAGGGUCAGCACGGCCCAUAUAUUAUACUGAAUUACCAGGUUCAGAGAGCAGACAAACAGAAGUUUAAAUAAGAAAUUACUUUCUGAUUGCUGGCAAGAUGGCCAAAUAGGAACAGCUCCGGUUUGCAGCUCCCAGCGAGACUGACACAGAAGGUUCCAUAAAAGCUGACUUUGUGCCUGAAAUAUUAGAAGUGAACUGUGAGUGCUUACUGAAUGAAUAGGUGAAUGGACAAAACCUCCUGCAAUACAGCUUUCUUACCAUGCCUCAAGAGACUCUUCAGUCCAUCCUGCUGUUGUUGUUGAUUGGUUCUCCCUGAGUGCUGACCCUAAGCCCAGAUUCAGAGAUUUCUCCAAGAAACAGCUUCUUUGAAAGACAUCAUUCCUAUUGUCAACCCUGUUGGCAUAGAAAUAAAAUGUAGACGUUGGACAAAGGCAA